rnacentral:ncRNA from 1 species
UCUUAUCCAGAGUGGCAGAGGGACUGGCCCGAUGAUGCCCGGCAACCACCGGAAUUUUGUAAAAAUCCGGAAAGGUGCUAAUUCCUGCGGAUAUCAUUAUCCGGCAGAUGAGA